rnacentral:lncRNA from 1 species
UAGUCUUAAAACGAAUGUCUCAUAUCAUAACCAUCUAAAUAAGAGUACAACAAUUGGGUGUAGUCCAUACAUCAAUACAAUAAAAGCCAUAUAUAGGCUAACAAUAUUUAGUACUCAAAUGAAAUAGAAUGAACAAAGUGUCUUUAAUACUAAUAAAUAUCCAAUGCUAGAAAGUUCCAUUAUCCUCGAAGUAGUGAGAAACUAACCAACUUGGAGAAUCAGAAUCCAAGUCUUCCUUCAAAUGUCGUCACAAGCCCUUCUACGACCGAAACCAAAAAUUUUGGGACAAAGGAACAAAUGGGUUAGCACAUCACUUGUACUAAGUAUGGGCACAUAUGUACACACAACAUAGAAAUCAUGUUAAAAGGGACAUUUGUUCAAAUAUGCUGAUUUACUUUGAAAAGCCUCAUGCACAUACAAAAACCCAUAUAAAUUAAUGAGCACAUAACUCUUAAUUCAAGGACAUAUAGAACACAAGACAAACAUCAUCAAGUAUAUUCAAGUCAACAUAUAUAAGAUUUCAUAACAUCAUAAUAUAAUCAAAGACCUUACCCAUAACCCAUCAUUUAGUAUACAAGUGCAAUGACCAAGUAAAGCCCCAUACCUUUACUAACUCAAGUAAACCAAACAAAGGACGAUAAGUAAUGCCUAACUUCACAUAACAUGACAACAACAUUAAUCCUCCUCAUACUUUAGCAAUAUACACCAACAUCAUGUUCAUAAGUAAAACCAACAUCAUAUAGGAUCAACAACAUGUAAAGUCAACAUAUACAUAAUAGUCACUUUAAAAGGUCAUAAGAACAUAAUAACAACCUUCUAAGUCUUCCCUCAUGGCAAACUAGUGCAAGACAUAGGUAGAGUCUCAUACCCCUACCUAGUCUAAGUCAAACCUCUUAAGUCACCUUAGUUAGUGUUUACUUCCUUACUCUAUUUUAUUUUUAGGAACACUUGCCUUAACCGAUAUAGACUACAAGAGCUAAGUGUAAAUCCGGUGUAGUAAAACCUUACACCGAUGGUAGGUGGUUUACUGGCCAAAGUAAAAACAAACAUAAACGUAGCUUUCUAGGUGAAUCCACUAGCUAUUCUUCCUACUGGGUCUACAUAGUUUAGGAAGUAGGCAAUAUGUAUGAACUAACUACAUGCCAUUUAACAUUGGAUCCUUAUCUCAUGAGAACCCAUCGGGUGAGUGUCCCUCAUAGGGGAGUCAACACCUCAUAUGAAACUAUAGAGUGAGUCUUCCUCUACGGGAAGCCAACACCUCUCAUUGUCAAGUUUACUCGGUACUAAGCUAAGUCCCUUAUUGAUAUUACUUUAAGACUUUAUUAAUCAUCAUAUAUUAGUUUAUUUCAUUGGGUCUAUCCCUUAUAUAAUCAUCAUCAUCAUAGCUCAAUGAGAAUUACAUGUGUAUUCUUGUUUCAUUACAAUUUAUACAUGUUAGGUUAGCACAUUUACAUAAUCGCAUUAUGAUAAGGCUCAUAGGUAAGUCAUCACCAUCCUUAUAUCAUUACAUCUUAGUUAACAACUCAAAAGACAUAAAUCAAAAUAUUUCAAUUCAACAUCAUACCAACCCUAAUCAAUCUCAUCAUAAGGUAUACUUUAAUAUAACUUCAUGACUAAGCACAAGUAGUCAUAAUUGAAGUAAAGUCUAGGAUCAUAAAGACUUACUCAAUAUCCUUCACAAUACAUCAAUCAUGGUUUUACCAUCAACCAUCCAACUCAACCCAACAAUAGGUGUAACAACAUCAUUCAAUAGUAAUUAACAAAAUAGCUAGGUCAAUUGCAUCAUCACUAUCCAAAUUAGCUUCAUUUCAUAAUCUAGGGUUAGGGGAACAGGAUUUAUCAUGAAUUCUUCAAGAAAUUGAUCCAAUUCCAACAACACAUUACCAUAGGCAGUCCAUGAAUGAAUGAGAAUAGAUAAAACAAGUCUAACAAUUAAAUCAUUCUUCAAUUCCCAUCAAUAAUAAGAAAAGAUCCAAGAUUUGGGGAAUUUGGGGAAAGGGACAUGAUCUACAUGGAAUUGCAUCAAUUAAAAUAAAUUAACCAAUAAUAUAAACUUAAUUAGUCAUAGACAAUCACAAUUCAUCAUCAAUUUAAAGUUUAGAAGAAAACCCAUUAGGAUUGGAAAAACCCUUGAAAUUGGGUGAUUUAGAAAUCAAUUUUGAAAGGAUAUCUUGGGGAAAGGAAUUCCAAGAGUAAAUAAAUCAUACCUUAAUUAAGAUUAAUCCAAGAAAUUGAAGUGAAAUCAUAGAGAAAUUGGUCUUCUUCUUCAAGCAUUCUUGCUUCUUCAAUGGAGGAUUUAGGGAGAGAGAAAGUUUAGAGAUAAGAGCUUUUGGAUUUUUUUUGGGAAUUUGAUUUAGGUGAGUGAAAAAUGACUCAAAAGUGACCCUUAGU